AGUUUAUUUGUGUUGUGUUUUUAAUCGGUCACGUUUAUUUGUUGUGUAUUUAAUCGAUCGUUAACAGUUAACAUUAAUGAUGGGCAAAUGAAGCCUCGUGAAGCACUGAGGCUUUCCCCUCAUUGUUUCGGGAAAAGAUUCAAAGCUUCGAGAGUGUCGAAAACAGCGCCAUAUGGUAUUAAAUUAAAUUUAUUAAAAAUAAAGCAGCCAAAACCCUGUGAAAGAAGCUUCGUCGGACGAAGCAGCCACCUCAGUUUCAUGUUACGUGCUCAAAUAAAAACCUAAUAGUGCGUGCGUGUGUGUGUUGAAUUUACCUCCGUGAUAAAUUAAUUUACCCAUUAAACGCCACAGUUUAAUGGGUAUUAAACUGUGGCAUUCAAAGUGAAUCACUCAAAGUGAAUCGCGCACUUGAUUGGACAGAAAGUGAGGCUUCGUUUGUCAUUGGUCACGUGAUUUCUACGUUACCAACACAAGCCCAUUUAUGCUCGGCACAAGCGCCGAAGCCUCGGUUCAAAUGUCACAUCACUAGUUAACAUGACUCUAAUCUUUUUGUAAAUGGGCUUUGCAAUGAAGUCACUUUAUCGCGUCUUUUGAUAUUUUAUAAAUGGAUUGUUUCACGUUGUGUGGUUACAUAUUCAUGAGGCCUAUUAGGAUUCGGAGAGGCUCUGCUUUACUUCAUUUACAGCAAUGCAAAACAUGCUGCAACAAUUUCCACUGCCCAGUGUUUUUAAACCGACCAGAUGGCACAGGUUGAAUGCACUCCUUCAAAUUCACUUCAAAAAGGCUGUUGUCAAUGGAGUAAAUUAGCAGAAUCACCCCAGGACAAUGGAAGCUGAUCAAAAACAAGAAUGUUCCACAACGGUUGACCAGCUCUAUUGACUGUGGGAUCUUCAUGUUAAUGAGCCACGGAUCACAGAAGACCUCUUGCGCUGCACUUGAAUAGCUACACAACAACCAAAAGUCUUCAAAGGUUUAAUGGAAGAGCUGUGCUUUCUGAUAUUGAAAGAGGAAGACCAGGAACAAGCCCUUCUUCAACCUUUACAGGCUGAAUAAUUUGUUCAAUUUACUCUCUUUGGUUUGAUUUUGUACUUUUUUAGAGCAAAGCACAGCUAGUAUAUGAUGCUUUUGCUACUUAAGGGGGAAAGUUCAUUUUUAUUAAAAUUAAAUAACACAUGUUUUGUUUUUGGGUUUGAUGGGUCUGAAUUUGCUUAAUUCAUGUAAUCUAGUGUACAAUUGUGUAAUGUGUAUUAUGUACAAUGAAAAAAAAUGAUUAAUUCUGAAAUGCUUGAGUAAAAUAUACAUUUUAUGUCAAAUAAAUAUUGUUUAUUGUUGUUUGUAAUA